UAUGGCGGGCGCGGGGCAGACGCCGACGAGGGUGGGCGGAGAGAGGAGGGAGGAAGCCAGGUCCUGCUUCCAGAGGAGUGGUAGUUGGAAAUUUGCUUCCGGAAGCGCAGACGUUUAGCUUCCGGCAACUGCAGGUUUAGAGGUUUGUGUUGCAAUUUCAUUUUGUACUUUUGAGAUUGGACUAAAGCUAAUAACUUCUGUUGCUGAAAUAAAUUCAGUGAAAU
rnacentral:ncRNA from 2 species